rnacentral:rRNA from 1 species
UACGUAGGGUGCAAGCGUUAAUCGGAAUUACUGGGCGUAAAGCGUGCGCAGGCGGACGCUCAAGUCAGACGUGAAAGCCCCGGGCUCAACCUGGGAAUGGCGUUUGAAACUAGGUGUCUAGAGUGCGUCAGAGGGGGGUGGAAUUCCGCGUGUAGCAGUGAAAUGCGUAGAGAUGCGGAGGAACACCGAUGGCGAAGGCAGCCCCCUGGGAUGACACUGACGCUCAUGCACGAAAGCGUGGGGAGCAAACAGG